AAACCAACUGGGAUUACCUUAGUAACGGCGAGUGAAGCGGUAAAAGCUCAAAUUUGAAAUCUGGUACUUUCAGUGCCCGAGUUGUAAUUUGUAGAAUUUGUCUUUGAUUAGGUCCUUGUCUAUGUUCCUUGGAACAGGACGUCAUAGAGGGUGAGAAUCCCGUUUGGCGAGGAUACCUUUUCUCUGUAAGACUUUUUCGAAGAGUCGAGUUGUUUGGGAAUGCAGCUCAAAGUGGGUGGUAAAUUCCAUCUAAAGCUAAAUAUUGGCGAGAGACCGAUAGCGAACAAGUACAGUGAUGGAAAGAUGAAAAGAACUUCGAAAAGAGAGUGAAAAAGUACGUGAAAUUGUUGAAAGGGAAGGGCAUUUGAUCAGACAUGGUGUUUUUUAAAUGUGCAAGUCUCUCGUGGACAUGUGCCUCUGGGAAAUUAACACUGGGCCAACAUCAGUUCUGGCGGCAGGAUAAAUCAUUAAGAAUGUAGCUACCUCGGUAGUGUUAUAGCUUUUUGGAAUACUGCC
rnacentral:rRNA from 1 species